AAAACAACUCUCAGCAACGGAUAUCUUGGCUCUUGCAACGAUGAAGAACGCAGCGAAAUGCGAUACGUAGUGUGAAUUGCAGAAUUCCGUGAAUCAUCGAGUUUUUGAACGCAAGUUGCGCCCGAGGCUUGUCCAAGGGCAUUCUCGCCAGAGCGUCAUC
rnacentral:rRNA from 1 species